rnacentral:misc_RNA from 1 species
GAUGAAGAACGCAGUGAAAUGCGAUAAGUAAUGUGAAUUGCAGAAUUCAGUGAAUCAUCGAAUCUUUGAACGCACCUUGCACCCUUUGGCAUUCCGAAGGGUAUGCUCGUUUGAGUGUCAUUGUACUCUCACUCUCCCGAUGCUUUUGGAUCGAGAGUGGUGGACUUGGGUGUUGCUGCUUUGCUGUGGCUCGCCUCAAAUGGAGUAGUGCAACUCUUGGUUGGACAUAGUACGGCGUGAUAAGUGUCUUCGCCGGCGCCUCAUUAUAGAGGGUGGCCGAUCGGGAGCUCUGUGCUUCAAACCGUCUUCGGACAACAUCUGACAACUUGACCUCAAAUCGAGUAGGACUACCCGCUGAACUUAAGCAUAUCAAUAAGCGGAGGA